rnacentral:rRNA from 1 species
UACAGAGGGUGCAAGCGUUAAUCGGAUUUACUGGGCGUAAAGCGCGCGUAGGUGGCCAAUUAAGUCAAAUGUGAAAUCCCCGAGCUUAACUUGGGAAUUGCAUUCGAUACUGGUUGGCUAGAGUAUGGGAGGGGAUGGUAGAAUUCCAGGUGUAGCGGUGAAAUGCGUAGAGAUCUGGAGGAAUACCGAUGGCGAAGGCAGCCAUCUGGCCUAAUACUGACACUGAGGUGCGAAAGCAUGGGGAGCAAACAGG